UUACGGAAGGCAGCAGUAGGGAAUCUUGCGCAAUGGGCGAAAGCCUGACGCAGCCAUGCCGCGUGAAUGAUGAAGGUCUUAGGAUUGUAAAAUUCUUUCACCGGGGAAGAUAAUGACGGUACCCGGAGAAGAAGCCCCGGCUAACUUCGUGCCAGCAGCCGCGGUAAUACGAAGGGGGCUAGCGUUGCUCGGAAUUACUGGGCGUAAAGGGCGCGUAGGCGGAUGGUUUAGUCAGAGGUGAAAGCCCAGGGCUCAACCUUGGAACUGCCUUUGAUACUGGCUAUCUUGAGUUCGGGAGAGGUGAGUGGAAUGCCGAGUGUAGAGGUGAAAUUCGUAGUUAUUCGGCGGAACACCAGUGGCGAAGGCGACUCACUGGCCCGAUACUGACGCUGAGGCGCGAAAGCGUGGGGAGCAAACAGGAUUAGAUACCCGUGUAC
rnacentral:rRNA from 1 species